rnacentral:lncRNA from 1 species
CAUCAAUCUAAGACUCUGGAAUUUGAAAUUGCAAGUUCUCCUUGUUCUCUUUCACAACUAAUAAUUGAAUGUACAUUGUGAUAUAUUCUUGUCUGCACUGUGUAUUUUUUAAAAUUAGGAAUUGGGUCAUUAUCUAAAAUCUUCAGAACACCUUUCCAAAUCUCUUUUUAAAAUUUCAAUUUCUUGGGUUCUUCAAGGUUUUCAGGAGUCUGGGAAAACAUUCCUAAUGUAACUUAUUAAAUGCAAGCAGUAUGCCAUAUUUUAAAUUUUCUCUGAGUGAAUUCUUAAACAGAUUACACAUUGCUUAAUUCAUCAAAUAACAAGUUCUCAUGUAUUAAUUAAAGUGUUAAAACCUUUAACCAUUUUUUCCUUCUGUCUCAUCAAUUCUACCCAUCAACAUUGGGAGCCUGGGAAAUGGAGUUGGUACCUUUCCAGGCCCAUUUGUAUAUAGCACAGGACAUAGAACAGCUGGUUUGGGGCUGAGAGAUAUACAAGAUACAUGUGAGAUAUUCAAGAGAUAUGUGAGAUAUGUAUUAGGCUUACCAUUAUAUUUUCUUCUAGCAGAGUUCUUAUUAAAUGAGUGAAUCUGAAAAUUGAGUCAACUCAUUCUUUUGUCUUAUUAUAAUAAAACAAGGUCUCUUAGCACCUACUGAUGGAAUCCAAAGUGCUGGCAUUCUUGCUUCCAGUAAUACCAGUCUUUUCCUUUUUCUAAAU